rnacentral:rRNA from 1 species
CUAAGUGGGUGGUAAACUCCAUCUAAAACUAAAUAUAACCAUGAGACCGAUAGUAAACAAGUACCGUGAGGGAAAGUUGAAAAGAACUCUGAAUAGAGAGUUAAAUAGUACGUGAAACUGCUUAGAGGUUAAGCCCGAUGAACCUGAAUAUCCAUUAUAGAAAAUUCAUCAUUAUGAUUUUAAUAUUUAUAAUAUUAUAAUAAUGGUGUGCAUUUUUUCUAUAAAAGGACAUUGUAAUCUAUUAACAUGCAAAUAUUUAUCAUAAGAUCAAUUGCAAAAGUUUAUUCAAAUUAUUUUGCUUGCAAUUUAACAUAGAAUAAAUGCUUUUGAUUUGAUAAAGUGUUGAUAGAUUUAUUAUAUAUAGUGCUUAAAUAUUUAUAUUUUAUAAUAGCAUAUUAAUCAUUGAUUUUUAUGUUUAUUAUAUGCACUUAUAUGAUUAACAAUGCGAAAGAUUCAGGAUACCUUCGGGACCCGUCUUGAAACACGGACCAAGGAGUCUAACAUAUUUGCAAGUUAUUGGGAAUAAAAACCCUAAUAGCGAAAUUAACAUAACUUAUUUAAUGGGAUUAAUUUUUAGCCUAUUUAUAGUCUA